CGCUCUUACCAUUCACUUCGUAAGUUCACUUACAAAGUUGCAUUGUUGCACUAGAUUGUUGCAAUACUAAUUUUGCAAAUAUAAGUAGUCUGUGGCUGUGUAUAUAUUUCCACAGACAUAUAAGAGGAGCAUAGCUAUGCUCCAUGGUCAGUAAGUAAUAAGUAUUACUAUACUCUGUGGCUUGACUUGACUGUUCUUUCUAUUCCGUUGUGAAUUUUCAAGUUGAUAAACAGUUUCAACUUUAUUUUAAACAAAAAGUAAUACUAAAUCUGAAUAGAAAUAUUAUUCAAGAUACGUCUAUAUUAGGUUAGUUUUUUUUACUUAUAUGUGGUCACUAUUUUCUUCGUAAUUUAUGUAAAAUGCGCACUUUGUUGUUUUGUUGACUGUUGAUGAACAUUCAUUUUAAAAUUUAUUUAACUACUAGCUGCCCGGACACAAAGAGUAUCCCGACUUCGUUCUGUCAAUUAUUAGUUUUCUAAGAAAUGGAAAGCACAAAACCAGUCACUGUACCAAGGGAGCGACAACCUCCACCUGAACCACGUCCCAGACAACCUCCUCCAGAGCCGAAAAGGUCUACAGCAAUUCCACCACCACAACCAAGGGAAAGGCAAAAACCUCCACAACCUAAGGAAAGACAAAUGCCUCCAAAACCACAAUAAUAAUAAUAUAUAUUUUUUACCUGUUUUAAGAUAUAAAAAAAAAAUGUUAUAAAUCUUUAUUUUUGAUGUGUGAUAUUUAACAAUUAAAUAUUAAAAAAAAAAAGAAAUGAAAAAAAUUGAAAAUUUUACUAUGAAUGAUUUAGAUUGUUGAUUAAGUAUAAGUGAAGUAUUCAUAUUUUAUAUAAAUCGUUCCUUUAAUUAUGCUUUUUAAUCAUAAGUUCGGAAAUAUAGUAUUAAUUCAGUUUUUCUCAUCAUUAACUGUGCUAAUUAAUAAAUUAUUUUAUAUUUAGUUCCAAUUUUAUAUCAUAUUGUAAUAAUUAAUUAUACCUAAAUUUGUUUUAAUUCUGCAUGUAGAAUAAAAGAAAAAAAAUUUUUUUAUUUACGAAAAAAUUAUUAUUACUAAACUACUUUUACUUACUUAUUAUUAAAGUUUUUAUUACUUUCUUUUACAAAGUAACAUAAUUAUGUAUGUGUCGACAUAUAUUUUAUCCUGUACGACUGAUGAUGUGUCAUGAAUAGAAAAAAAGAUGUUAGAAAUUAUUAAUUUAAUUUCUAUUCUUACAUAGGUAAUGAAUGCUAAUUUGUAUUAAUAAUAAAAUAAAAAUUAUUGUUUUGUUUUCAUUUAAUUUUGUGUUAUUAUAACAUAAAUAUAUGUUGACAAUAAUUUUGUUUAUGCUAAGAUUUUCGAAAAUGUAAUUGGGUAUAAGUAUUACUAUGCUCAGUGUUGGGUAUACAGCUAACAAACAAUACAUCUAAGAAAUGCAGCUGUUAUUUAUGAUUAAAAUUUUAUAAUAAACUACUACAGCUAUUACUUGUUUACAACGCUUAUUACUUGUUGAACACCCAACUAUUGAGUUUAUAAUGGUUGCUAUAAUAAUCUAACCCAGUAAACAUUUUUAUGCUUUUAUAUAAAUUUCAUAAAGUACUGGAGUUUAUUUAAACAUACUUAAACAAUAGCUGGUUAAAAAAAAUGGCUUUCCUUGUGGAAAAAUUUAUCUUGAAAAAAACUAUAUUUUUUUUUUACUUAGUGUGAAUAAUAAUUCUGAAAUUUUUAUUUUCUAACAAAAACUGAUAAAGUAUCUGAGUCAAAGAAACGUUUUAUAUGAUUUAAUAAGUCUAGAGUAAUUGGAAGACUUGGGACUCUGCCAGAAGAGCUAUUAAGAAUUUAUUAAACUUUUU
rnacentral:misc_RNA from 1 species